GACGAACGCUGGCGGCGUGCUUAACACAUGCAAGUCGAACGAAGUGGCGAACGGGUGUGUAAUACGUGAGUAACCUGCCCUCAUUUUUGGGAUAAGCCUUGGAAACGGGGUCUAAUACCGACAAAAGGGGGAGGGGCCCGCGGCCUAUCAGCUUGUUGGUGGGGUGAUGACCUCCCAGGGCGGUGACGGGUAGCCGGCCUGAGAGAGGGACCGGCGAAAUUGGGACUGAGGUACGGCCCAGAGGCCGACGGGAGGGAGCAGUGGUGGAUAUUGCACAAUGGGCGAAAGCCUGCAGCAGGUACGCCGCGUGGAGGAUGAAGGGUUGUGGGUUGUAAACCGCUUUCGGUAUCGAAUGGGUAGGUGGAGAAGGAGCGCCGGCUAACUACGCGCCAGCAGCCGCGGUAAUAC
rnacentral:rRNA from 1 species